GUCAGGCCCUCCGUAUUCGCGUGGAAUCACCGAAACCGUACGAGGCUUCUCUUCCCCAACCUCACCGCUACAGGCGACAGGGGCGACCUUUCUCUCGCGAGAGCUCCCGCCCGACCGUCCGGCUGGGCGGCGCCCGCCCUUCCCUGGCCCAAACCCUUGGCGGGGCUGCGGGAUUAUUGGUGGCGGCGGCGCGAUGCAUAGCGGCGGCGCCCGAGCUUGCGGAUGUGGUAGGCCUCGCCCUCGCGGCCUGCGAGUCGAUCCCGUUGGAGUCGUCCCCUGUAGGAGUUCUGCACAAGAAGAACUUCUGAUCAGUGUCCAGUAGCACCGGGACUCCGGGAGCAGUCCCAGACUGCUGUAAAUCAUACGAGCAUGCGCUGGCCGUGAAUCUUCUGACCAAGACAGUUGCGAAGCAAUAUGGCUGGGCUGGCUGCCAGCAUGUCAAGGAAGUUUGCGACCAUAUCAACAACAUAUCAUUUGCUCAAAUGCCUGAUCCUCCCCUAAAAUUCUUGUUACUGAGCGCUGGCUUCAUCAUAAGAUGUUUACAAUCACACCUGGUGCAUUUGUGAUUUAUAAUGUACGAAGCCACCACAACCCUGUGUCAUUAGUUUCGGCAGUGAAACUAGCUCUGAGCUCAUUGUUUCACAAUAUAAAAUGGAAAAUGCUGGUUUUCCUUC